GAUGAACGCUGGCGGCGUGCCUAAUACAUGCAAGUCGAGCGAACAGACGAGGAGCUUGCUCCUCUGACGUUAGCGGCGGACGGGUGAGUAACACGUGGAUAACCUACCUAUAAGACUGGGAUAACUUCGGGAAGCCGGAGCUAAUACCGGAUAAUAUAUUGAACCGCAUGGUUCAAUAGUGAAAGACGGUUUUGCUGUCACUUAUAGAUGGAUCCGCGCCGCAUUAGCUAGUUGGUAAGGUAACGGCUUACCAAGGCAACGAUGCGUAGCCGACCUGAGAGGGUGAUCGGCCACACUGGAACUGAGACACGGUCCAGACUCCUACGGGAGGCAGCAGUAGGGAAUCUUCCGCAAUGGGCGAAAGCCUGACGGAGCAACGCCGCGUGAGUGAUGAAGGUCUUCGGAUCGUAAAACUCUGUUAUUAGGGAAGAACAAAUGUGUAAGUAACUAUGCACGUCUUGACGGUACCUAAUCAGUAAGCCACGGCUAACUACGUG
rnacentral:rRNA from 1 species